GCUGGGCAAGGUGGCUUAUGCCUGUAAUCCCAGCACUUUGGGAGGCUAAGGUGGGAGGAUCACUUGAGCCCAGGAGGUCAAGGCUGCAGUGAGCUGUCAUUGCACCACUGCACUUUAGCCUGGGCUACAGAGUGAGACUCUGUCUCAA
rnacentral:sRNA from 1 species